rnacentral:rRNA from 1 species
GAUGAACGCUAGCGGCGGGCCUAAUACAUGCAAGUCGAACGGGAAAGGUGGCAACACCUUGAGAGUGGCGUACGGGUGCGUAACGCGUAUACAACCUGCCUGUUACACGGGGAUAGCCUUGCGAAAGCGAGAUUAAUACCCGAUGGUACUAUUGAGCGGCAUCGCUUGGUAGUUAAAGCUGAGGCGGUAACAGAGGGGUAUGCGUCCCAUUAGCUAGUUGGUAGUGUAACGGACUACCAAGGCGACGAUGGGUAGGGGUUCUGAGAGGAUGAUCCCCCACACUGGUACUGAGAUACGGACCAGACUACUACGGGAGGCAGCAGUAGGGAAUAUUGGGCAAUGGACGGAAGUCUGACCCAGCCACGCCGCGUGCAGGAAGAAGGUCCUCUGGAUUGUAAACUGCUUUUCUUGGGGAAGAAAACACUUCUGCGGAAGGAAUUGACGGUACUCAAGGAAUAAGCAUCGGCUAACUCCGU